rnacentral:rRNA from 1 species
GAUGAACGCUAGCGGCAGGCCUAACACAUGCAAGUCGAGGGGUAGAGAGAAGCUUGCUCUUCUUGAGACCGGCGCACGGGUGCGUAACGCGUAUACAAUCUGCCUCUUACUGCGGGAUAGCCCAGAGAAAUUUGGAUUAAUAUCGCAUAGUAUAUUUGAAUGGCAUCAUUUAAAUAUUAAAGGUUACGGUAAGAGAUGAGUAUGCGUUCUAUUAGCUAGAUGGAGUGGUAACGGCACACCAUGGCAACGAUAAAUAGGGGCCCUGAGAGGGGGAUCCCCACACUGGUACUGAGACACGGACCAGACUCCUACGGGAGGCAGCAGUGAGGAAUAUUGGACAAUGGAGGCAACUCUGAUCCAGCCAUGCCGCGUGCAGGAAGACGGCUCUAUGGGUUGUAAACUGCUUUUUAUACGGGAAGAAACACUGCUACGUGUAGCAGCUUGACGGUACCGUAAGAAUAAGGAUCGGCUAACUCCGUG